UACGUAGGUGGCAAGCGUUACUCGGAAUCACUAGGCGUAAAGCGCGUGUAGGCGGCCAGAAAAGUCCGCUGUGAAAACUCGAGGCUCAACUUCGAGCUGUCGGUGGAAACUUUCUGGCUAGAGUCCGGAAGAGGAGAAUGGAAUUCCUGGUGUAGCGGUGAAAUGCGCAGAUAUCAGGAAGAACACCCGUGGCGAAGGCGGUUCUCUGGGACGGUACUGACGCUGAGACGCGAAAGCGUGGGGAGCGAACAGG
rnacentral:rRNA from 1 species